rnacentral:rRNA from 1 species
UACAGAGGGGGCAAGCGUUAUUCGGAAUUAUUGGGCGUAAAGGGCGCGUAGGCGGCCUGGCAAGUGGAAGGUGAAAUCCCUCGGCUUAACCGAGGAACUGCCCUCCAAACUGCUUGGCUUGAGUCCGGGAGAGGUGAGUGGAAUUCCCAGUGUAGCGGUGAAAUGCGUAGAUAUUGGGAGGAACACCAGUGGCGAAGGCGGCUCACUGGACCGGAGCUGACGCUGAGGCGCGAAAGCGUGGGGAGCAAACGGG